CAGCAGCCGCGGUAAGACAGAGGAUGCAAGCGUUAUCCAGAAUGAUUGGGUGUAAAGCGUCUGUAGGUGGCUUUUCAAGUCCGCCGUCAAAUCCCAGGGCUAAACCCUGGACAGGCGAUGGAAACUACCAAGCUGGAGUAUGGUAGGGGCAGAGGGAAUUUCCGGUGGAGAGGUGAAAUGCGUUGAGAUCAGAAAGACACCAACGGCGAAAGCACUCUGCUGGGCCGACACUGACACUGAGAGACGAAAGCUAGGGGAGCAAAUGGGAUUAGAUACCCCAGUAGUCCCUGUCUCUUAUACA
rnacentral:rRNA from 1 species